UUAGACAAAUAAAAAAUAUUUUGCUCUGCUUUAGCAUUUUUUUUCCCCAAAGAUGCUCCUGACUCUGCGUUCUCUCCUUUAGGAUUUGUGUCACACGCGAGUGCUCGCGGUUCCUUGAUGAGGCGACGCCAGCGAGGGGCGCCAGCCAUCUGCGAGGAUGCCGACGGCGUCGACCGGCCAAGAGGCCGCUCUCCUAUGCCCGUGCCCCUCUCACCCGCGACGACGAGGCCGCCGCCGUUCACCACGUCGCCCACCGCCGUAGCCGACCUCCUACAGCGCCUCAACCCGCCCCUCACGUCCGCGGGGCACCAGCGGCAGCUCCGCGGCGUCGGCGCGGCGCCGGCGGCAGCGCGCCGAUCUCGGCGACGUCGGUAGGGCACCCGCAGCAGCUCGCCGACAGCGCCGGAGCUCGGUGCUCGGCGACGUUGGCGGGGCGCCAGCGGCAGCUCACGGCGUCCGCGGGGCGCCGGUGCUGGCGCUGGGGUGCUCCGACGAUCGGCGAUGGAAUGGCUGGCAAUGGCUACAGACUUAAGAAGGCCAAGGGCAUUUAAGAAAAAAUGGUAAAUUAGACAAAUAAAAUUUUUGGGACCCUAAAUUGUAGAAAAUGGUAAAGUAGCAAACUAAAUUAGGACCUGAAUGGCAUUCUAGCAAAGCUCAUUUAAAUGAUGGUAUAAUAGCGAAUCCAAUCUUAUUCAAUGGUAGAUAUGCAAUUUUCUCCUAACAAACGCGGCCCUAGUCUCCCAAUCCGCCGGAGCUUGGCCGCCGCCGUCGUGCGAAGAAACCGGUGAAGGGCGGCCCUACAUAGCGAGGACGCCAGGUGUCCACGAACCACGGUGAUGGCAUCAGUUCAGCCCCAGCUCCUCCGCCGCCUCGCGCCGUUGCUGAACUGCCGCAUCCGCGCCACCACCCACCGAUGCCUCGUCUCCGCCGCCGCCGCCGCUGCCGAGACGCCGUCGCCUGUGCUGGCGGGGCCGGGAUCCGUCAGUAUGACGGAUAGCUGUGUCCGUGUAGGAUGAUCCACAAUAGAUCCAUGUCAUUCGCGCUAAACCCGCCUGUUUUUGGUUUUUACUGCUUGUGCAGGUGUCAGCAAAUUAAUCCGAGGCCAGUUGGUGGAUGCAGCUGCAACUGCAAGACCCCUCAUUCAUGGUCAAAUAAUUUGAGCAUUACUAGUAGAAGGAUACAGCUAGUGGCCAACCAUACCUUUGGGUGAGCUGUGAAGGGCUGAUCCCAUUCCCCGUUAAUGUCCCAGCUAUCUUCUGUUUCAAGAUUUUGUAUGCAUAUCUCCUGAGGCAGGUGGUUCUCCGCGACUGCAAACACCCUUCCGGCAUGCUCAAAUACAUUGGUGUUGCUGAUGUCCUUGUUCACUUUGCCAAACCGCAUCUGCAUUGCAUAUUUACCUAUUUCAGAGUGUCUGAAAAGUGAAAAAUAGCAUAUAGUUUAGGCUUGUAAGGUAUUGUUUACAUAGUUGAGAAUGUAGCCUGCGAUGAUGGCUGAGGAGUCGCCCAUGAUGGCGGGGAGGAAACUUGGUUUCUUUUGGGCUUUCUCAAUCUUGAACGUUUCAGACUGCACAUAUCGAUUUGCAUAGGACAUCAACCAUGUGGCUGAACUGUUCUUUCUGAAGUAGAGGGCAUGGAGCAUGCCCUCACCCUCAACCCAUAUCUCACUUGACUUUCCGAAGAUUGAGACAGUCGAAUGGAGAGCUCCAAAGAGUGGAUUGGAACCUGUUGAGAUUUUCCACAAUUAGUUUAUGGCUUUUAAUUCUCAUGUGCAUACACACAGUUAUACUUAUUUGUUUGAACAGACUACAGUAAUAAGAGAGGAUCAAUAUCACCACCAUUUCUGAUGUAUAUGCCUUCCGGGAAAUCUUCAGAAUUGUCAAAGCUGGCCUUUAAAUUCAUUAUUGAUGAAUGAAAUGGAAUGAAGCUUCUCCAGAAUGAAGUACCUCUGAUGGUAGCAUUGGUUGGUCAGAAAACUUGAAGGUUGAGUCAACCAAAGCUUCCAUAAGUCCCUGUUUUGCCAUCUCCAGCGCUUUUGAGGCUUCAUCGAUCCUGAAAGAAAGUCGCCUCCGAAUCUCCUGAAAAAAAGGUUUCUGAAGCAAGAAAAGAGCUAAGCAUCAGAGUUAUUGAUGACUACAUGAUAAUAACAAGAUCUAAGCACAUUCUGCAUGAUAAGAAGAGACCUUUCGGUUUGUGGUUGUGGAUGUUGGCUGGUUUCUUGCACCCUGGGAAGAUGCAGGUCUGAAGGAAGGAGAAGCCUUGCAGAUACAUGGAU